AGCUUCUAAAAGGCCCGAGGUACUUGGUAGUCAUUGAUGACAUUUGGACUACUGGAGCUUGGGAUGAUAUAAAACUAUGUUUCCCAGACUGUAAUUGUAGAAGUCGAAUACUCAUGACUACUCGGAAUAUGGAGGUGGCUGAAUAUGCUAGCUCAGGUAGUCCUCCUUAUCAAAUGCGCCUCAUGAAUUUUGAUGAAAGUUGGAGUUUAUUGUAUGAAAAGGUCUUUGCGAGAGGAUUUUUCCCUCAUGAAUUUGAACAACUUGGGAAACAAA
rnacentral:misc_RNA from 1 species